rnacentral:rRNA from 1 species
CAGCAGCCGCGGGAAUACGGAGGGUGCAAGCGUUAAUCGGAAUUACUGGGCGUAAAGCGCACGCAGGCGGUUUGUUAAGUCAGAUGUGAAAUCCCCGGGCUCAACCUGGGAACUGCAUUUGAAACUGGCAAGCUAGAGUCUCGUAGAGGGGGGUAGAAUUCCAGGUGUAGCGGUGAAAUGCGUAGAGAUCUGGAGGAAUACCGGUGGCGAAGGCGGCCCCCUGGACGAAGACUGACGCUCAGGUGCGAAAGCGUGGGGAGCAAACAGGAUUAGAUACCCGGGUAGUCCCUGUCUCUUAUAC